AUUAGUGGCGAACGGGUGAGUAACACGUGAGUAACCUGCCCUUGACUCUGGGAUAAGCCUGGGAAACUGGGUCUAAUACCGGAUAUGACUGUUCAUCGCAUGGUGGUUGGUGGAAAGCUUUUGUGGUUUUGGAUGGACUCGCGGCCUAUCAGCUUGUUGGUGGGGUAAUGGCCUACCAAGGCGACGACGGGUAGCCGGCCUGAGAGGGUGACCGGCCACACUGGGACUGAGACACGGCCCAGACUCCUACGGGAGGCAGCAGUGGGGAAUAUUGCACAAUGGGCGCAAGCCUGAUGCAGCGACGCCGCGUGAGGGAUGACGGCCUUCGGGUUGUAAACCUCUUUCAGUAGGGAAGAAGCGAAAGUGACGGUACCUGCAGAAGAAGCGCCGGCUAACUACGUGCCAGCAGCCGCGGUAAUACGUAGGGCGCAAGCGUUAUCCGGAAUUAUUGGGCGUAAAGAGCUCGUAGGCGGUUUGUCGCGUCUGCCGUGAAAGUCCGGGGCUCAACUCCGGAUCUGCGGUGGGUACGGGCAGACUAGAGUGAUGUAGGGGAGACUGGAAUUCCUGGUGUAGCGGUGAAAUGCGCAGAUAUCAGGAGGAACACCGAUGGCGAAGGCAGGUCUCUGGGCAUUAACUGACGCUGAGGAGCGAAAGCAUGGGGAGCGAACAGGAUUAGAUACCCUGGUAGUCCAUGCCGUAAACGUUGGGCACUAGGUGUGGGGGACAUUCCACGUUUUCCGCGCCGUAGCUAACGCAUUAAGUGCCCCGCCUGGGGAGUACGGCCGCAAGGCUAAAACUCAAAGGAAUUGACGGGGGCCCGCACAAGCGGCGGAGCAUGCGGAUUAAUUCGAUGCAACGCGAAGAACCUUACCAAGGCUUGACAUGAACCGGAAAGACCUGGAAACAGGUCCCCCACUUGUGGUCGGUUUACAGGUGGUGCAUGGUUGUCGUCAGCUCGUGUCGUGAGAUGUUGGGUUAAGUCCCGCAACGAGCGCAACCCUCGUUCUAUGUUGCCAGCACGUGAUGGUGGGGACUCAUAGGAGACUGCCGGGGUCAACUCGGAGGAAGGUGGGGACGACGUCAAAUCAUCAUGCCCCUUAUGUCUUGGGCUUCACGCAUGCUACAAUGGCCGGUACAAAGGGUUGCGAUACUGUGAGGUGGAGCUAAUCCCAAAAAGCCGGUCUCAGUUCGGAUUGGGGUCUGCAACUCGACCCCAUGAAGUCGGAGUCGCUAGUAAUCGCAGAUCAGCAACGCUGCGGUGAAUACGUUCCCGGGCCUUGUAC
rnacentral:rRNA from 1 species